CCGUAAAACCCCCUAUCCUUUUUAAAGGUGACCUCGAUCAGGUAGAACCA
rnacentral:rRNA from 1 species